UGAUGCUUCUCCCAGUCACCAGAUUCUUAUUAGUGGCACCUGUGCCUUGUUUAGACGAGCUUUUUAAGCCGGAGUCUUCAUAAACUGACUUUGUCUUCAAUGAUCUAAUGCCAACUGGCUGUCGAUGUCCGACGGAGCAGGUGGGGAGUUGAGUGGAACUUCAGUGGCUAGUGGGCCAGGGAUGACUGGUUUGAGGCGAGAGACAUGGAAUGAUGGAGCUAUGUGGCUGUGUCUAGUUGUCUUUGGCCAUGUUGGUGGUGGUGCAUUCUGGGAAUUGGAGUCGCUGGUUUGCUGUGAUUUGAUGGUAAGAAACAUCUAGACAGCAUGGCAUCACAAUAGUUCAACCAAGAGCCUUGUCUUGGAUCUUGGAGACAACUGGACAAAGCCUCCUGUCACGUUAUUCUCCUCGCUGCAUUCAGUGCGUAUUAACAGCCCGCAGCAUGAUUGCGCGCUCUUUCGGGUUUUCAUUGACCUUGACUUUACUUUUGACACGUGUGUGUUCUGUUAUGGUUUAUGUCCUGUCUCCGCCCCUGUAUUGUCAUUGGUUGAUUCCCUUACACGUCAUCAUUCUAAUCAGCUGUUUUGUUAUCCCCUUGAUUAUGUGUAUUAUUUAAAUUCCUUGUCUGUCUUUGUACAAAGGCGAAGUAUAUGUUCAGUUGCUGUUGUCUAUCUAUACCAAGCUGUUCUCUGUUAUAGUUUCUCUGGUUUUGAUUCUGUUUUGCCCUUGACUCUGAUUCUCUGCCUUACCUAUUCCAGUCUGUUUGCACUAUUCCCUGACCUUGCCUGUCUAAUGUUUUUGAUCUUUGCAUUACACUUUGGAUUGUUAUUCUCAUUAAAACUGGUUUACCUGCA
ensembl:lncRNA